UCGAUUUAACUUUCGUGCUCUCCGAGCUAGUUAAAACUCUCGGACUGAGAACAUUGAGUUCUCUGCUGCACGGAAAAUCAUCUAUAACGUUUCUAGAGCCAGGUACGUGCUCUGAAUUCUAGUUUCUAGACUGUAGCAAGCCAUAAUGCUACUUGGCAGGCCGGAACAAUCUAGUUGUCUUUUUACAGUACUCAGCCCCGGUCGGAAAUUCCUCCUCUUUUCUAGAACUUCACCUUCACAGUGGGAGAUUGGAAGAGCGCCAAGCUCAACAUAUUGGGCCAGAAAGACAAAAAUACACGUGAAGUAGCAACGCCAGGAGACGGCGCUUGUAUGACAGGCUUUGCUCAUCGCAAUUUUCCGAUCCCUAGAGUUUAUGAAGCUGCUGUUGUUUGAUUGCAGUGAGGAGAGGAGUGCAUGACGUAAAACGAGCACACACUGUGAUCAAAUGUGUAAGCUCAGCCGGUAGAGCGCGUUGCUUUUUGGAUCUCGACCUACGCCACUGGGGCAGCAGCGAAAACGUUGGGUUCGAUUCCCACAGAUGGCGAGCGGCUUUCGGUCACCAAUUUACUGCAGGAGCUCUAUUGUUUUUAUUCAGAAGAUUCCUGCUUUUAAUUUUCAGCUCACGUUAAACCAUCUCAACGAGUCCAGGUUUACCAGGCUCCUGGGGACCUCACCACUCAGCUCCAGAGAUGGCUCCUUCAAACUCAGCAUGCUUCCCAUGGACGAAGGAAUUGCCCCGGACAACUCGUUACUGCUCAGUUGCAGGAUCUCAACACUGGAAAGGCAGGAUGUGAUACGACAAGUUCAGCAUUGACGUGAGGAAGUCUCGACCAUGGUAGAAUGGGGCCUUGGAGACUGCAGUUGCGUGGAGAUCCAGCUCAAGGAGGGUUCCUGGAGCUGUGCAAGGCCGUGGAGAUUCAGUGGAAACUUCUUCAGAGCAAAGCCAAGAUCUCACCAGCAAGGGACAAGGUUGGAGCAAUAUGAUAUGUUCCCUAUGUCUUGCAGGGAUUAAACAAGUACAAGACAAAACUCUUAAGUGAACCAGCUAUGCCUCGAAA